rnacentral:rRNA from 1 species
GAGUUUGAUCGUGGCUCAGAACGAACGCUGGCGGCAGGCCUCAAACAUGCAAGUCUAGGGGUGUAGCAAUACACACCGGCGGACGGGUGCGUAACACGUGGGAAUGUACCUACUGGUUCGGAACAACUGCGGGAAACUGCAGCUAAUACCGAAUGUGUCCUUACGGAGAAAGAUUUAUCGCCAGUAGAUCAGCCCGCGUCCGAUUAGCUAGUUGGUGGGGUAAAGGCUCACCAAGGCGACGAUCGGUAGCUGUUCUGAGAGGAAGAUCAGCCACACUGGGACUGAGACACGGCCCAGACUCCUACGGGAGGCAGCAGUUGGGAAUCUUGGACAAUGGGGGAAACCCUGAUCCAGCCAUGCCGCGUGAGUGAUGAAGGCCUUCGGUUGU